rnacentral:misc_RNA from 1 species
GUGAGUCAUCGAAUCUUUGAACGCAUAUUGCACUCUCUGGUAAUCCGGGGAGUAUGCCUGUUUGAGGGUCAGUAAAUAAUAAAUUAUCACAAUCUUUUGAUUAUGGAAUUGGGCCUUUAUUUCGAAUAGAUUUAUGGCCUCAAAUUUACGUUACCGCUUGUUUAAUAUGAAAUUCGACCGAAUGGAGCAAUUAAACAUUCUCUCGUUAGGCGGAUUCAUCAAGCAAUUACGAUUUUUUGGCCGCCGAAGGACUUUUACAAGUGCUUGGCCGGAGAUCGUGAGUUUUAACAAAUGACCUCA